GACGAACGCUGGCGGCGUGCUUAACACAGGAAAGUCGAACGGAAAGGCCCUGCUUUUGUGGGGUGCUCGAGUGGCGAACGGGUGAGUAACACGUGAGUAACCUGCACUUGACUUUGGGAUAACUUCAGGAAACUGGGGCUAAUACCGGAUAGGAGCUCCUGCUGCAUGGUGGGGGUUGGAAAGUUUCGGCGGUUGGGGAUGGACUCGCGGCUUAUCAGCUUGUUGGUGGGGUAGUGGCUUACCAAGGCUUUGACGGGUAGCCGGCCUGAGAGGGUGACCGGCCACAUUGGGACUGAGAUACGGCCCAGACUCCUACGGGAGGCAGCAGUGGGGAAUAUUGCACAAUGGGCGGAAGCCUGAUGCAGCAACGCCGCGUGCGGGAUUACAGCCUUCGGGUUGUAAACCGCUUUCGCCUGUGACGAAGCGUGAGUGACGGUAAUGGGUAAAGAAGCACCGGCUAACUACGUG
rnacentral:rRNA from 1 species